UAGGGAAUCUUCGGCAAUGGACGAAAGUCUGACCGAGCAACGCCGCGUGAGUGAAGAAGGUUUUCGGAUCGUAAAACUCUGUUGUUAGAGAAGAACAAGGACGUUAGUAACUGAACGUCCCCUGACGGUAUCUAACCAGAAAGCCACGGCUAACUACGUGCCAGCAGCCGCGGUAAUACGUAGGUGGCAAGCGUUGUCCGGAUUUAUUGGGCGUAAAGCGAGCGCAGGCGGUUUCUUAAGUCUGAUGUGAAAGCCCCCGGCUCAACCGGGGAGGGUCAUUGGAAACUGGGAGACUUGAGUGCAGAAGAGGAGAGUGGAAUUCCAUGUGUAGCGGUGAAAUGCGUAGAUAUAUGGAGGAACACUAGUGGCGAAGGCGGCUCUCUGGUCUGUAACUGACGCUGAGGCUCGAAAGCGUGGGGAGCAAACAGG
rnacentral:rRNA from 2 species